UACGUAGGUGGCAAGCGUUGUUCGGAAUUAUUGGGCGUAAAGCGCGCGUAGGCGGCCACUUAAGUCGGAUGUGAAAGCCCCUGGCUCAACUGGGGAAGUGCACCCGAAACUGAAUGGCUUGAGUGCGAAAGAGGGUCGCGGAAUUCCCGGUGUAGAGGUGAAAUUCGUAGAUAUCGGGAGGAACACCGGUGGCGAAGGCGGCGACCUGGGUCGACACUGACGCUGAGGCGCGAAAGCGUGGGGAGCAAACAGG
rnacentral:rRNA from 1 species